rnacentral:rRNA from 1 species
UGGCUACUGUGCCAGCUGGUGAAUGGCUCGGCUCGAGAGCCGACGACGGACGUGCCAAGCUGCGAAAAGCUCGUGGGACCCGCAUGGAGGGAAAGAACACGAGAUCUCCCAAUCGGAAUCCGUUCAACAAUUGCCACGCGCAAUAGGGAACGCCCUGAAUUGAAACAUCUCAGUAAGGGCAGGAAAAGAACGCAACAGCGAUGUCGUCAGUAACCGCGAGUAAACGCGACACAGCCCAAACCGAAGGUCUUCGGACCAAUGUGGUGUUCGGGUUGACAAUCAAAACGCGACACUCUCUCAGAAGUCUCCUGGAACGGAGCGUGAAACAGGGUGACAACCCCGUAUGAGAGAACAGUACCGUUGGCGUCAAAUCCAGAGUAGCAGGGGGCGGAUAUCCUCUGUGAACAUCUCAGGCAUCCCCUGAGAAGGCUAAACACUCCUCGAGACCGAUAGCGAACAAGUAGCGUGAGCGAACGCUGAAAAGCCCCCCGAGAAGGGCGGUGCAAUAGGGCCUGAAAUCAGCUGGCGAUCGAGCGACAGGGCGUACAAGGCGAUUCUCAAAACGACCGAGGAGCGAUCCUCCAGUAGGAAGAGAAUCGAGCCGGCGUCGUGUCGUGCGUUUUGAAAAACGACCCAGGGAGUGCACUUGAUUGGCGAGUCUAACCCGUGAACCGGGGAAGGCGCAGGGAAACCGAUACGGCCGCAGCAUUGCGAGGGCCACCGUGUUCAAGCGCGGGGAGUCAAUUGGGUGCGACCCGAAACCAGGCGAUCUACGCGCGAGCAAGGUGAAGCGUGGCGAAAGCCACGUGGAGGCCUGUUAGAGUUGGUGUUCUACAAUACCCUCUCGUGACUCGUGUGUAGGGGUGAAAGGCCCAUCGAGCCUGGCAACAGCUGGUUCCAACCGAAACAUGUCGAAGCAUGACCUCAUCAGAGGUAGCCCGCGGGGUAGAGCUACCGAUUGGAUGACCCGCCUCCGAGAGGAGUCGGCCAUCCUGUCGAACUCCAAACCCGCAGGCGCCGUAGACGAUGGGAGUCCGGUGCGCGGGGUAAGCCUGNCCCGCCUCCGAGAGGAGUCGGCCAUCCUGUCGAACUCCAAACCCGCAGGCGCCGUAGACGAUGGGAGUCCGGUGCGCGGGGUAAGCCUGUGUACCGUGAGGGGAACAACCCAGAGCCGGGUUAAGGUCCCAAAGUGUAGAUUAAGUGCGAUUCGAAGGUGGUCUCAAGCCCUAAACAGCCGGGAGGUGAGCUUAGAAGCAGCUACCCGCUAAGAAAAGCGUAACAGCUUACCGGCCGAGGUUUGAGGCGCCCAAAAUGAUCGGGGCUCAAAUCUACCACCGAGACCUGGCCGUGCCCUUGACAGGGGCAACCGCGUAGGUUGGCGUACUGGUCGGACGGAAGCCCGGGCGAGAGCUCGUGUGGACCGUCCAGUAACGACAAUCCUGGUCACAGUAGCAGCGAUAGUCGGGUGAGAACCUCGACGGCCUGAAGAGCAAGGGUUCCUCGGCCCUGCCGUUCAGCCGAGGGUUAGCCGGUCCUAAGGUGUACCACAACCUGACUACACCGACGGGAAGCUGGUUAAUAUUCCAGCGCCAUCGUGCAGUAAACGCCGACGCCGUGUGGAACGCUGAGCCGGGCAUUCGCCCGGUCGAAUCGUGGAACCUCGUGGACGCCGUCACGGCACGAAGCGAGAGAAGCGCGAAACAGCGAAAGUCAGCCGUACACAGGGCCCGUGAAAAGGCAAGCACGAUGUCCGUACCGAGAUCCGACACAGGUGCUCUGCCAGCGCAAGGCAAGGCCUGUCGGGAGAACCGACGUUAGGGAAUUCGGCAAGUUAGUCCCGUACCUUCGGAAGAAGGGAUGCCUGCUCUCUGAGGAGCAGGUCGCAGUGACUCGGGCGCUCCGACUGUCUAGUAACAACACAGGUGACCGCAAAUCCGCAAGGACUCGUACGGUCACUGAAUCCUGCCCAGUGCGGGUAUCUGAACACCUCGUACAAGAGGACGAAGGACCCGUCAACGGCGGGGGGAACUAUGACCCUCUUAAGGUAGCGUAGUACCUUGCCGCUUCAGUAGCGGCUUGCAUGAAUGGAUAAACGAGAGCGCCACUGUCCCAACGUUGGACCCGGUGAACUGUACGUUCCAGUGCGGAGUCUGGAGACCCCCAAGGGGAAGCGAAGACCCUAUAGAGCUUUACUGCAGGCUGUCGCUGAGACGUGGUCGCCGAUGUGCAGCAUAGGUAGGAGACGCUACACAGGUACGUGCGCUAGCACGCCACCGAGUCAACACUGAAAUACUACCCGUCGGUGACUGCGACUCUCACUCCGGGAGGAGUACACCGGUAGCCGGGCAGUUUGACUGGGGCGGUACGCGCUCGAAAAGAUAUCGAGCGCGCCCGAAGAUCAUCUCAGCCGGGUCAGGAAUCCGGCGAAGAGCGCAAGAGCAAAAGAUGGUCUGACAGUGUUCUUCCCAACGAGGAACGCUGACGCGAAAGCGUGGUCUAGCGAACCUACGAGGUUCCGGAAUGGGACCCGUAGAUGACAGAAAAGCUACCUUAGGGAUAACAGAGUCGUCACUCGCAAGAGCACAUAUCGACCGAGUGGCUUGCUACCUCGAUGUCGGUUCCCUCCAUCCUGCCCGUGCAGACGCGGGCAAGGGNGAGGUUGUUCGCCUAUUAAAGGAGGUCGUGAGCUGGGUUUAGACCGUCGUGAGACAGGUCGGCUGCUAUCUAUUGGGGGUGUGAGGUACCUGACGUGAACGAACGUAUAGUACGAGAGGAACUACGUUUGGUCGCCACUGGUGUAUCGGUUGUCCGGAAGGGCAGAUGCCGAGUAGCCACGCGACACGGGGUAAGAGCUGAACGCAUCUAAGCUCGAAACCCACAUGGAAAAGAGGUACCGUUGAGGUCACUCGUAGAAGACGAGUUCGAUAGACUCGGGGUGUACGCACCGAGGCAACGAGGUGUUAAGCCCACGAGAACUAACAGACCAA